rnacentral:rRNA from 1 species
AACGAACGCUGGCGGCAGGCUUAACACAUGCAAGUCGAACGCCCCGCCAGGGGAGUGGCAGACGGGUGAGUAACACGUGGGAACAUGCCCAAAGGUACGGAAUAUUCUCGGGAAACUGAGAGCAAUACCGUAUGUGCCCGAAAGGGGAAAGAUUUAUCGCCUUUGGAUUGGCCCGCGUCGGAUUAGCUAGUUGGUGGGGUAAAAGCCUACCAAGGCGACGAUCCGUAGCUGGUCUGAGAGGACGACCAGCCACACUGGGACUGAGACACGGCCCAGACUCCUACGGGAGGCAGCAGUGGGGAAUCUUGGACAAUGGGCGCAAGCCUGAUCCAGCCAUGCCGCGUGGAUGAUGAAGGCCCUAGGGUUGUAAAAUCCUUUCGUUGGGGACGAUAAUGACGGUACCCAAAGAAGAAGCUCCGGCUAACUUCGUG